rnacentral:rRNA from 1 species
UCCUACGGGAGGCAGCAGUGAGGAAUAUUGGUCAAUGGGCGCAAGCCUGAACCAGCCAUGCCGCGUGCAGGAUGAAGCAUCUAUGGUGUGUAAACUGCUUUUGUACGGGAAGAAACACUCCUUCGUGAAGGAGCUUGACGGUACCGUAAGAAUAAGGAUCGGCUAACUCCGUGCCAGCAGCCGCGGUAAUACGGAGGAUCCAAGCGUUAUCCGGAAUCAUUGGGUUUAAAGGGUCCGUAGGCGGUUUUGUAAGUCAGUGGUGAAAUCCGGCAGCUCAACUGUCGAACUGCCAUUGAUACUGCAGGACUUGAAUUGUUGUGAAGUAACUAGAAUAUGUAGUGUAGCGGUGAAAUGCUUAGAUAUUACAUGGAAUACCAAUUGCGAAGGCAGGUUACUAACAAUACAUUGACGCUGAUGGACGAAAGCGUGGGGAGCGAACAGGAUUAGAUACCCCAGUAGUCC